rnacentral:rRNA from 1 species
UACAGAGGUCUCAAGCGUUGUUCGGAUUCAUUGGGCGUAAAGGGUGCGUAGGUGGCGGGGCAAGUUUGGUGUGAAAUCCCGGGGCUCAACCUCGGAACUGCACUGAAUACUGCCUUGCUAGAGCACUGGAGAGGGAACUGGAAUUUACGGUGUAGCAGUGAAAUGCGUAGAUAUCGUAAGGAAGACCAGUGGCGAAGGCGGGUCUCUGGACAGUUCCUGACGCUGAGGCACGAAGGUCAGGGGAGCAAACGGG